rnacentral:rRNA from 1 species
UACGUAGGGGGCAAGCGUUGUCCGGAUUUAUUGGGCGUAAAGAGCGUGUAGGCGGCCAGGUAGGUCGGUUGUGAAAACUGGAGGCUCAACCUUCAGAGGUCGACCGAAACCAUCUGGCUAGAGUCCGGGAAAGGAGAGUGGAAUUCCUGGUGUAGCGGUGAAAUGCGCAGAUAUCAGGAAGAACACCCGUGGCGAAAGCGGCUCUCUGGAACGGUACUGACGCUGAGACGCGAAAGCGUGGGGAGCGAACAGG